AUUGAACGCUGGCGGCAUGCCUUACACAUGCAAGUCGAACGGCAGCACGGGAGCAAUCCUGGUGGCGAGUGGCGAACGGGUGAGUAAUAUAUCGGAACGUGCCCAGUCGUGGGGGAUAACGUAGCGAAAGCUACGCUAAUACCGCAUACGAUCUAUGGAUGAAAGCGGGGGAUCGCAAGACCUCGCGCGAUUGGAGCGGCCGAUAUCAGAUUAGGUAGUUGGUGAGGUAAAGGCUCACCAAGCCGACGAUCUGUAGCUGGUCUGAGAGGACGACCAGCCACACUGGGACUGAGACACGGCCCAGACUCCUACGGGAGGCAGCAGUGGGGAAUUUUGGACAAUGGGCGCAAGCCUGAUCCAGCAAUGCCGCGUGCAGGAUGAAGGCCUUCGGGUUGUAAACUGCUUUUGUACGGAACGAAACGGCGAGCUCUAAUACAGUUUGCUAAUGACGGUACCGUAAGAAUAAGCACCGGCUAACUACGUGCCAGCCGCCGCGGUAA
rnacentral:rRNA from 1 species